rnacentral:rRNA from 1 species
UUGUCUCAAAGAUUAAGCCAUGCAUGUCUCAGUACAUACCGAAUUAAGGUGAAACCGCGAAAGGCUCAUUAUAUCAGUUAUGGUUCAUUAGAUCGUACUUCACAUUUACUUGGAUAACUGUGGUAAUUCUAGAGCUAAUACAUGCAAACAGAACUCCGACCGGAGACGGAAGGAGCGCUUUUAUUAGAUCAAAACCGAUGGGCGUCGGCGGCCGGCGCGAUCGUGCGCCGCGUCGUCGUCGUCGCAUAGCUCACACGAUGAAUCUGAAUAACUUUAUGCCGAUCGCACGGUCAAGCACCGGCGACGCAUCUUUCAAAUGUCUGCCUUAUCAACUUUCGAUGGUAGGUUAUGCGCCUACCAUGGUUGUAACGGGUAACGGGGAAUCAGGGUUCGAUUCCGGAGAGGGAGCCUGAGAAACGGCUACCACAUCCAAGGAAGGCAGCAGGCGCGCAAAUUACCCACUCCCGGCACGGGGAGGUAGUGACGAAAAAUAACGAUACGGGACUCAUCCGAGGCCCCGUGAUCGGAAUGAGCACACUUUAAAUCCUUUAACUAGGAUCAAUUGGAGGGCAAGUCUGGUGCCAGCAGCCGCGGUAAUUCCAGCUCCAAUAGCGUAUAUUAAAGUUGCUGCGGUUAAAAAGCUCGUAGUCGAAAUUGUGUCCCGGGCCGCCGGUUCGUCGCUCGCGACGUCAACUGGCGCGCACGCGGGACGUCCAGCCGGUGCUCGAACCCGCCGACGGUGCUCUUAACCGAGUGUCCAGGCGGGGGCCGGCAACGUUACUUUGAACAAAUUAAAGUGCUCAAAGCAGGCUAAACUGCGCUCGCAUAAUCAGUGCAUGGAAUAAUCGAAUAGGACCUCUGUUCUAUUUUGUUGGCUUUUGUAGAACAAACAGAGGUAAUGAUCAAUGGGUGCGGAUGGGGGCAUUCGUAUUGCGACGUUAGAGGUGAAAUUCUUGGAUCGUCGCAAGACGCACUAAAGCGAAAGCAUUUGCCAAAAACGCUUUCAUCGAUCAAGAACGAAAGUUAGAGGUUCGAAGGCGAUCAGAUACCGCCCUAGUUCUAACCAUAAACUAUGCCAGCCAGCGAUCCGCCGAAGUUACUACUAUGACUCGGCGGGCAGCUAUCGGGAAACCAGAGCUUUUGGGUUCCGGGGGAAGUAUGGUUGCAAAGCUGAAACUUAAAGGAAUUGACGGAAGGGCACCACCAGGAGUGGAGCCUGCGGCUUAAUUUGACUCAACACGGGAAACCUCACCAGGCCCGGACACCGAAAGGAUUGACAGAUUGAGAGCUCUUUCUUGAUUCGGUGGGUGGUGGUGCAUGGCCGUUCUUAGUUGGUGGAGCGAUUUGUCUGGUUAAUUCCGAUAACGAACGAGACUCU